rnacentral:lncRNA from 1 species
AUUUUAAGACUUCUCAUAUUAUAAUUUUUCUUGUUCAUUAUAAUGUCUUAUACAGACUUUCUAGUAAGUUUUCUGCAUUCUAUAAAAAAGUGUGUCCAAAAAGAGCUACAUUUUACACGUUGUCGUGGUACAAAACUAAAACUAUGCAACUUACUGUAAAACUGAUUACAUAUUUGAAAUCAGCA